GAGUAUCGUUUUCCCAAAGGACUCUUAGGCCUUAACUUUCAUGUAACCUAAUUGCGUAAGACUUGAGAAAAGAGAAUUAAUUUGGUGGUUAUAUGCAAAGAACAAAAAUAAACAUGCAAUGCAGUUGAUUCAGUUGGUUUUGAGAAACUAUGGAUGAAUGGUGUUGUUGGGGUUUACAAUUUCAUCUUAUCCACUCUCAUAUAUCUACUCUUCUUAUUUACUUCACUUAUUUAUCUAAUUGCCAUGCAUACUUUCUUAUUUACCCUUAACCCAAUCCCUUGGUGAAAAGAGCCUAUUACUAAUUACUGGCUUGCUAUCCCUAGCCUCCCCUAGUAACCAAUAAUGCAAUGCGAUCUGAAGCAAUUACAAUUGACCGUCCUACCCCUAUCCCUAGGCGAUAUUGGCAUAAUCAAGGAAUUUCCCACCAGUUCAUGACAUUACCGUACGUCCCCAUAUCGA
rnacentral:lncRNA from 1 species